UGCUCAUCAGAUUAUGAGUAGCUGUCAGUUAAUUAAGUAAAGGAUAACCAAGUUUUUAGAUUUCUACACCAGAGGAAAAUAUUUCUGAUACUGAGGUAUUAGCACAACCAGCUUAGUAGAAGUCACGAAAGUUUCAGAAGAGACAAAUUAUGGCAGCCAUGUACAUAAAAAUUCUUCAUUUUCAGUAAGUUUAUCAUCACAGAAAAGUCUGGACAUUUCGGCUUGAUUCUGGAGAGCUUCUAUUUGACCAAUAGAUUCAAACUGUACUAAUCUUUUGAGUGAGGCUUCAAAGAUGCAUUACAAAUUCCUGUUAUCUGGAAAUUACUCUUCACUGUGCAGUACUAGCAAAAAAAGAAAAAAUCUCUUUAAAACGAAUUGAAUUUCGAGCACAGAUAACAAUGAUACCCUUUUCUAAAUGAAAUAUUGAUUAUCUUUAUAUUUCAUGUGCUAUAUACACAAAAUACACAAUUUCCUUUCUAAAUUUGUUGUGUUUUCUCCUUUUGUUCCUUUAUUUGGGAAAUCAGUUUAUGUUGCAUGCUAUGUAUAGACUUUACGAUAUAUCUACAGCUUUAUAUACUAUAGUUUGUGUUAUGAUUUUAUGGAACCUGUACACGCUUAAUACGUUUUGGAAAAUAAAGCUAAUGUUCUAGUUUA